rnacentral:rRNA from 1 species
GAUGAACGCUAGCGGCAGGCCUAAUACAUGCAAGUCGGACGGGAUUCAGGAGCUUGCUUCUGAUGAGAGUGGCGCACGGGUGCGUAACACGUAUGUAACCUACCUUUAUCAGGGGGAUAGCCUCUCGAAAGAGAGAUUAAGCCCGCAUAAAAUCACAGCACAGCAUUGUGUAAUGAUCAAAUAUUUAUAGGAUAAAGAUGGGCAUGCGGAACAUUAGCUAGAUGGCGGGGUAACGUCCCACCAUGGCGACGAUGGUUAGGGGAUCUGAGAGGAUGGCCCACCAGACUGGUACUGAGACACGGACCAGACACCUACGGGAGGCAGAAGUAAGGAAGAUUGGUCAAUGGGAGGAAGCCUGAACCAGCCAUGCCGCGUGCAGGAAGACGGCCCUACGGGUUGUAAACUGCUUUUAUACGGGAAUAAACCCAGAUACGUGUAUCUGGCUGAAUGUACUGUAAGAAUAAGGAUCGGCUAACUCCGUG